rnacentral:lncRNA from 1 species
UGAGUUUUACUUUAAUAUCUUCUAGCAGAAAUAUUGUUUGGUGUUAUAUGUAUAAAUAUGAAUGCAUGAGUUCAGUAUGAGUAUAUAUGAGGAUAUUGAUUCAGUUUUUAUAACUGUUUUUACAAGUGAGGUUAGUAUGUUCAUAUGCUAUUUUCAAAACCUUAUUUUUGGUCCACUCACGUUUUUCAUGUUUUGCUUCCCCAGGCAGUAGGCG